rnacentral:rRNA from 1 species
AUACGUAGGGGGCGAGCGUUGUCCGGAAUUACUGGGCGUAAAGGGCGUGUAGGCGGCCUGUUAAGUCAGGGGUGAAAGACCGGGGCUCAACCCCGGGGGUGCCUCUGAAACUGGCGGGCUUGAGUGCUCUAGAGGGCAGUGGAAUUCCCGGUGUAGCAGUGAAAUGCGUAGAGAUCGGGAGGAACACCAGUGGCGAAGGCGGCUGCCUGGGGAGUCACUGACGCUGAGGCGCGAAAGCUAGGGGAGCAAACAGGAUUAGAUACCCUGGUAGUCCUAGCCGUAAACGAUGAGCGCUAUGUGUGAGGGGUAUCGACCCCCCUCGUGCAGUAGCUAACGCAUUAAGCGCUCCGCCUGGGGAGUACGGCCGCAAGGUUGAA